rfam:Chitinophaga pinensis DSM 2588, complete genome.
AAAGGGUUAAAACCUAAGGUCUAGUCAACUAUCGGAAGCGAGUCUUGCGUAGUCAUCAGAAAUGAUGGCACGAAGCGUAGACAGCGACUGCUGAAGGUAUGCUAUUGAGCCUCAAAAUGACACCUGCUGGGUACGGCGGCUGGAUUUGCCUCCGAUAUUUUUUAACUUUGAAUACAGUACCAUGGCCAAACAAGAACCACGAUUCUCAAAAGAAUUUCAAGCAGUUUAAGAGCA